GUAGGGAAUAUUGGGCAAUGGAUGCAAGUCUGACCCAGCCAUCCCGCGUGCCGGAAGAAGGCCCUCAGGGUUGUAAACGGCUUUUGACGGUGAAGAAUCGACAGGAUGCGUCCUGUUUUGACGGUAGCCGUUGAAUAAGCACCGGCUAACUCCGUGCCAGCAGCCGCGGUAAUACGGAGGGUGCGAGCGUUGUCCGGAUUUAUUGGGUUUAAAGGGUGCGUAGGCUGGAAGGUCAGUCAGCGGUGAAAAGCUGUCGCUUAACGAUAGUCUUGCCGCAGAUACUUCCUUUCUUGGAUGAGGAGGAGGCCACUGGAACGGAUGGUGUAGCGGUGAAAUGCAUAGAUAUCAUCCAGAACACCGAUUGCGAAGGCAGGUAGCUGUACCUUAAUCGACGCUGAUGCACGAAAGCAUGGGGAGCAAACAGGAUUAGAUACCCGAGUAGUCC
rnacentral:rRNA from 1 species